rnacentral:tRNA from 1 species
GCGGGAAUAGCUCCGUUGGGAGAGCACGACCUUGCCAAGGGCGGGGGCGCGAGUUAGGGGCUCGUUUUCCGCC